rnacentral:pre_miRNA from 1 species
UACCCAUAGGCCCCUAAGUAGUUCCUUUUUGGGAUUACCUUAUAGCAUUCUAAAUAUAAUCCCAAAAAGGAACUACUUAGGGGCCUAUGGGU